GGCGGCCCUGAAAGUUUGAGUCCAGACAUGUCCAGUGUUUUAGGAUAUAUCAGAUGAGUAAGAAUGCAUUUACCCUUCACUAUGUCUCCAUAGAAAGUUGCUUUGGGUUUGGAGGUACACACACACACACACACACACACACACCCUGCCGCCGAGACAGGUCAAGAGCUAGAAACCACAGGUAAGGGAGACGGAGAAAGAGGGAGAGAGAGACAGCAAGAGGACACGCAAGCUUCCCAACCCCCGGCCUCCACACCCUCCCCCCUCCACUCUGGGUAUCCACCCGGCCCCAAGUCGACCCGACCUCACCCUCACCCACCGACACACUCACACACACUCUCACACACUCACCCUCUGGCCUGGGGGUGGGGGCUGGGUCUCGCCUUAGGUAGCCAGGCCGAAGGGGACCUUUGAGACCUCGGCUUUGAGGAAGUCUUGGGGUCCCCACGGGUGACCGCCAGCCCCAGGGUACCGCGUCCAGCCAGGCUCGGCCCAAGGCUGACGCCCCCUCCCUUGGGGAAGCUGCUUCUUCCGUGUGGCCUUCCUCUGAGGCAGCGUGGUGGGAACACAGGGGCUGGAUUCUGCUACAGUCAGGACUUGCUCCUGAUGUGCUUCAGGUUUACCUGCACGAAUUCUCCAGAUGUUUAUACAGCAUCCAGUAUACAACAAAGACUACAUUUUGAACUCGAUGGAAUCUUUACUCUGUUAAUACUUGUUACAUGGACCCGAAGAUAUUACAGGGUUUUUAAUUAGUGAAAAAUUCAUGAAUACCAUAGAGAAAAUAUUUUAGAAUUUAAUGUUUCUGAUAUUUAUGUAAACUUAUGACUUCAUUUAUAUAAUUCCUUCCUUUUUCUUGUAUAUUCAGGCUAUGAAUAUCCUUUCAGAUCAAUUCAUGUUCUGAUACCUGAUUUCAGUCUUUCAAAUGAAUGUACUGUAGUGCUUGUCUGUAUAAAUCCUAUGAACAAACACAGGGCUUUUGUAAAUGAUGCAUUUAUUGUAAUUAUUCUUGUUUAAUUUUUCAAUGUUAAACCAUGAGAGAAGGGGUUUUCCUGCGAUUGUAAAAUCAUCAUGAC
ensembl:lncRNA